rnacentral:rRNA from 1 species
UACGGGGGGGAGCAAGCGUUGUUCGGAUUUACUGGGCGUAAAGGGCGCGUAGGCGGCCAGCGCAAGUCAGUUGUGAAAUCUCCGGGCUUAACUCGGAACGGUCAACUGAUACUGCGCGGCUAGAGUGCAGAAGGGGCAACUGGAAUUCUCGGUGUAGCGGUGAAAUGCGUAGAUAUCGAGAGGAACACCUGCGGCGAAGGCGGGUUGCUGGGCUGACACUGACGCUGAUGCGCGAAAGCCAGGGGAGCGAACGGG